rnacentral:rRNA from 1 species
UACAGAGGGUGCAAGCGUUAAUCGGAAUUACCGGGCGUAAAGCGUGCGUAGACGGUUAUGUAAGUCGGGUGUGAAAGCCCCGGGCUCAACCUGGGAAUGCCAUUCGAGACUGCAUAGCUAGGGUGCGGAAGAGGGAAGCGGAAUUUCCGGUGUAGCGGUGAAAUGCGUAGAUAUCGGAAGGAACACCAGUGGCGAAAGCGGCUUCCUGGUCCAGCACCGACGUUCAGGCACGAAAGCGUGGGGAGCAAACCGG